UACGCAACAGGACUCUAUGAACCGUGUCAGGACAGGAAUGUAGCAGCACUAAGUAGAAUCUCCUGUGUGCCGUGAGGGUGCCUGGGCUGAGUUAACUGUAGAGGUAACGUCUGUGAGACCAUUCCGAGGUGCGGCGCGC
rnacentral:SRP_RNA from 1 species